ACAAGCGGCGGCAGCUACACAUGCAGUCGAGCGACACAGAAAGAGCUUGCUCCUUUGACGGUAGCGGGGGACGGGGGAGUAACACGUGGGCAACCUACCCUAUAGAUUGGGAUAACUCCGGGAAACCGGGGCUAAUACCGAAUAAUCUAUGCCACCUCAUGGAGACGUACUGAAAGACGGUUUCGGCUGUCACUAUAGGAUGGGCCCGCGGCUCAUUAGCUAGUUGGUGAGGCAAUGGCUCACCAAGGCGACGAUGCGCAGCCAACCUGAGAGGGUGAUCUCCCACACUGAGACUGAGACACGGCCCACACUCCUACGGGAGGCAGAAGAAGGGAAUCUUCCACAAUGGGCGAAAGCCUGAUGGAGCAACGCCGCGUGAGUGAAGAAGGUUUUCGGAUCGUAAAACUCUGUUGUAAGGGAAUAACGAGUACAGCAUUAACUGGUUGUACCUUGACGGUACCUUAUUACAAAUACAUCGGUAACUACAUGCCAGCAACCGCGUGAAGUAACUAGGAGGCGAAAGCGAUGUCAUGGAAUAUAUUGGGCGUAAAAAGCGCGCGCAGGCGGGGUCUCUUUACAUAUUGAUGAGGAAAAACCCACGGGUCAACCCUGGAGGGACACUUGAAAAAUGGAGGACUGUAAAGCAGGAAGAGGAGAGCCGGGGAGUAUUCCAAUGUAUGAGGUAAAAUAUCGUAGAGAUAUGGGGGAAACACCAGUGUCGAAGAGGGACUCUCUCUUUGUCUAAGUCUCGCUGAGAGGCGAGAGAGUGUGGGGAAAACACAAUUAUAUAUCCCGGUAGUGCACGCCCUAUACGAUAAGUGGUAAGUGAUAGGGGGUUUCCGCCCCGUAGUUUCGCAAAUUACGCACUAAACUCUCCCCCCGGGGAGUACGGUCCCAAGAGUUAAACUCAAAAGAAAUGGCGGGGGGCCGCCCAAACGGGGGAACCAGUGGGUUAAAUUGAAGCCACGCGAAAAACCCUUACAGGUUUUUACCUCCCAUUGACCUCUGCAGAGAUAUAGUUUCCCCUUCGGGGGCAACGGUGACAGGUGGUGCAUGGUGGUCGUCAGUUCGUGUCGUGAGAUGUUGGGUUAAGUCCCGCAACGAGCGCAACCCUAGCUUUUAGUUGCCAUCAUUUAGUUGGGCACUCUAAGGAGACUGCCGGUGAUAAACCGGAGGAAGGUGGGGAUGACGUCAAAUCAUCAUGCCCCUUAUGACUUGGGCUACACACGUGCUACAAUGGAGGAUACAAAGGGAAGCCACCUCGCGAGAGGGAGCUAAUCUCAUAAAGUCGUUCUCAGUUCGGAUUGUAGUCUGCAACUCGCCUACAUGAAGUCGGAAUCGCUAGUAAUCGCGGAUCAGCAUGCCGCGGUGAAUACGUUCCCCGGUCCUUGUACACACCGCCCGUUCACCACCAACGGGAGUUGUGUAAGCACCAGAAGUCGGUGGGGGUAACCUAUGGAGGCCCAGCCGCCCGAAGGGGACGUU
rnacentral:rRNA from 1 species